UGCUAAAUGACUUAAAAGUAAAUAACAGCUUAUAAGUUGAAAAUGUAAAAACCACUUUUCAAAGUUUGUAUAACUUGGAAAAAUUUUAGUAGAUUACAUGCAAUACUGUUGACUAAAUAAAAAUGAAGCUAAGCUUGAUCAAUUAACUUUAUAAGGCACUUUUAUCGAGAUGGCCUUAAAAAUACUUGCACAGCAAGACGGCCUCAGCAAAAGAGACAAAUAGGAAGUAAAGACCAUCUCCCUAGCACACUUUCUGGUUAAGGAUGGUGGACGGGUGGAGAAACGUCUCUUUUCCCAAACCAGUUAGCUCAGUUGAUGACACAGAUGACCUGAAAGGAGAUUUCUUAACAGUUUGUGGCUGUAGCUAUGGAUGGGUAUGUUAUGUACCUGCAAAUGACCAUUUCAUCCCUCCCAGUGCUCCAUGAAGCUCUUCCAGAACUCCGGGUCAACUGGUGCUAUCUUCCCAAAUAGCCACCCAACACACUACUUGCCUGGGGAACAAUCUUCCUUCUGAGGGCUAGAGAUCGAGAUUUGGUCGGGGACAAGACAUGGACUGGAGGUCUUUAUUCAUCUUUCCACAGACGGCUUUGAUGAUGCCCUGCCCAAGAGAGGUGAUAAAUUUGGAGACAAGAAAGAAUCGAGAGCGCUAAUAUUCAGACUAGUAUCGAGAUAGUGUGGGGAGUAUGAGGAUUGCCCUUGCCUAGAUAUAGAUCCCCAGGAUGACCCUAGGGCACCAGAGGCUACGACAGAGGUAGCCAUAAUACAUACUCAAGGAAAUUUCUUUUUUUCUUCUUUUUAAAAGGGGUCUCCCCCACACCCCCUCCAUUAUGAUUGUUAUUUUAAAUCUAUUUUAAAUCUAUUUCCAGGCUAUGAUUCCAGGAUAGGCAAGGCAGGCAUUUAAAUGCUGUAGUAGGUGCUCUUGCAAUGUUGGCUGUAAAGGAAAGUGUGCUGUUGAUGGGCGUGAAAAACGGACAAUGACUAUGGAGCUCCAGAGAUUAUGGUCUCAUGGGGAUUAUGGGUGUAAUGACAGAAAGCUGGCAAAUGAUAGCUGUAAAUGAUAUUGUGCUUACCUUAUGAAGCAGAGCACAGGGCAGAAAAGAUCGGUCCAGGAUUACAGGGCAUAAAACAUUUGCUUAUCUUAAGACUUUGCAAGUAGAAUUUCAGUUAAGAUUUAUUUAAUAAACAGUGGAACAGGAAAAUCAACAAAAUACCGAGAUAAUGGUCACCUAGAUUUAUUUAAUGGCUCAGAGUUUUCCAUGAACAGUUCAAAACUUCUAAGAAGAGAUAAAUUUAUAAAUAAACAUAAAUAAAAUCUUCAAUGUUUCAAUUUUUUAGUAAC
rnacentral:lncRNA from 1 species